rnacentral:rRNA from 1 species
UACGUAGGCAGCAAGCGUUGUUCGGAGUUACUGGGCGUAAAGAGUGCGUAGGCGGUUUCGUAAGUUUGGUGUGAAAUCUCCCGCUUAACUGGGAGGGUGCGCCGAAAACUGCGGGGCUGGAGUAUGGGAGAGGUAAGCGGAAUUCCUGGUGUAGCGGUGAAAUGCGCAGAUAUCAGGAGGAACACCGGUGGCGAAGGCGGGUCUCUGGGCCGUAACUGACGCUGAGGAGCGAAAGCGUGGGGAGCGAACAGG